rnacentral:rRNA from 1 species
UCGGGAAUUUUGGGCAAUGGGCGAAAGCCUGACCCAGCAACGCCGCGUGAAGGAUGAGGUAUUUCGGUAUGUAAACUUCGAAAGAGUAGGAAGAAUAAAUGACGGUACUAUUUGUAAGGUCCGGCUAACUACGUGCCAGCAGCCGCGGUAAUACGUAGGGACCAAGCGUUGUUCGGAUUUACUGGGCGUAAAGGGCGCGUAGGCGGUGUGUCAAGUCAGUUGUGAAAUCUCCGAGCUUAACUCGGAACGGUCAACUGAUACUGUCACACUAGAGUACAGAAGGGGCAAUCGGAAUUCUUGGUGUAGCGGUGAAAUGCGUAGAUAUCAAGAGGAACACCUGAGGCGAAGGCGGGUUGCUGGGCUGAUACUGACGCUGAGGCGCGAAAGCUAGGGUAGCAAACGGGAUUAGAUACCCCCGUAGUCCCUGAGCGGGCUGGCAAGGCGCAU